GACGAACGCUGGCGGCGUGCUUAACACAUGCAAGUCGAACGGAAAGGCCCUGCUUUUGUGGGGUGCUCGAGUGGCGAACGGGUGAGUAACACGUGAGUAACCUGCCCUUUACUUUGGGAUAACUUCAGGAAACUGGGGCUAAUACCGGAUAGGAGCUCCUGCUGCAUGGUGGGGGUUGGAAAGUUUCGGCGGUUGGGGAUGGACUCGCGGCUUAUCAGCUUGUUGGUGGGGUAGUGGCUUACCAAGGCUUUGACGGGUAGCCGGCCUGAGAGGGUGACCGGCCACAAUGGGACUGAGAUACGGACCAGAAUCCUACGGGAGGCAGCAGUGGGGAAUAUUGCACAAUGGGCGGAAGCCUGAUGCAGCAACGCCGCGUGCGGGAUGACGGCCUUCGGGUUGUAAACCGAUUUCGCCUGUGACGAAGCGUGAGUGACGGUAAUGGGUAAAGAAGCACCGGCUAACUACGUG
rnacentral:rRNA from 1 species